CGGGCCGCAGACAAGAACCAGGUGGCCCUUUUUGCCCAGGCCGCAGACAAGAACCAGAUUAGUUUUACCAGAUCCCUUCCGCCCCCCACCCGCACUACCGCGCCCAAGAGGAUUCAAAAGGGAGCGGCGGCGGCAAGAGGCCCGGCGCCGACCGCAACCCUAGCCCGAAUCAGCACCCGCCGGCCGACGCUUCCGGAGGGAGCCGCUGCGGCGGCCGAGGCCGACGACGAGGCGCGGCGCCCGUUCACGGCCCUCAGCCAGGUCCACGCCGACCUCAUCCUGGCGUGCGUCCCCCAGGAGCAGGCAAGCUGGCUAGAUCUCGCGUCCCCGGCGGUCCCGUUCCCGUCCCUGGGGUUCGGAGGAGAGGGCGGAUGAACGGAGGCGGCGAGGCCAGCGAUUAUGGGAGCUCGGAGGGCGCGCCUCGUCGUCGGCCUCAGCCAGGUCCACGCCGACCUAGCCCUGGCGAGCAAGUUGGCUAGAUCUCGCGGCCCUGGCCGUCCCGUCCCCGUAGCUCCCGCUGGGCCUGGUUGGCUGUUUGCUGAUUGGCCUGGUUACUAAUGUGCGUAGGCCACAACUCCAGGAUGCUAAAAUUGAGUGCGGUCACCACGCAUACAACCAAACAUAGCUACUGCAUGAAAUCACGAUCGUACGUGGUGGAGGCGGCAGCGGCAGCGAAUAGGUCAUUAGGGCAUGGCAGGGCGGCUGCCAUGGGCCGGCGAGGUGGUGAACAGCGACUCAGCGAGGCCGUGAGGGUGAGCAGAUCAGCACAUGGCGUCAAAAAGAAGAUCGAAUAUUUGUAUUAUGUUGCUGACUUCCGUCGAUUGAAAUUGUAUUAGAUCAAAUAUGGGUAUAUAAAGGAAUUGAUCUUGCUGAAAUUAAGAAAGAAUUUCAAAAUAUACCAAGAAGAAUGCCUUUGCCACAGUCAAUAAAGCUUUAUUAUAGGAAUGGAAAGGUCACAUGGUUGAGGAUCUAUGCUUGUUGUGGUUGCAGUCCUGUGGAUCAAGGUGUUGUUCUCGAGUGCUAGAGUAAUUUGGUUAUCCUGUCGGCUCCCAGCUUCCAGGUUCUAAUUAUAUGUGGUUCCAGUCCUGUGGAUCAACAUGUUGUUCUUGGAUGCUAGAUUAAUUUGGUUAUCCUAUCGGCUCCCAGCUUCCAUUAUAUGAGGACUUGGUGCUUUACUGUCGGUUGUUUUGUUUGGUUCUCUUGUUUUCUGAUUCUUUGCUUCAUGUGUUUCGCAUGUUGAUAUGCCUGUCCUUGUUAGGUUGCGUCGCUUGUGGCUCUGGGGUUUCUUGUUCUUCUUUGAUUAUGAUGUUUGUUGGCUGAUUCUAUUCCAUCUUGCUUUUUCAGGACUGUAUGUUGUUGGUUGGUCUGUGCUGUUCUUCUUUUAUCGUCUAUAGGUGGGACAUGCUCUUUACCCUGCAUUUUUGUAUCCUUUUUAGGCUGUCGGUUUUCCAUUCCGGGUAUAUAAAUUCCUUCUAUUGGAUGCUUUGGUGGACACAAAAGCUUAACACAUGUUACAUCGUGCUAUUUGACUCCUUUCGUGUGUCAUAUAGAACAUCCAUGUGAGAUAAAGCAAAAAGGCAGAGACCAAAUAUAAGAGCUGAGGGAUAUGUGGAAGAGGGACGGGAUGAGCUUGCGGCUUACGAGCCAUUCAAAUAAUCAGACAUGCAUGGUUUCUUGGUUUUUCACUUGUUGAAUCUGUUAACCUGAAGAUUUUUUUUCUUCUUUGCGGCAAAUUCCAGGGUAAAAUAUAAAACAGAAUCUGUCACCUGAAGGCAUUCUGUCGAGGCCUUGCUCAGAGGUUGGAUGAUUACGAGCAAGAUGCAAGGACACAAAAAGCUUGGGAUGCAGAAAGGUUAGACGCUAGCUGCCGCUAGCGCACGGUGGCGUGCUGCAUCUCCCAUCGGUGCUUGCGACAGGAGAACUACAUCCCUGGCCUAUUCAUCUAUGCCUCAGCUGCUGCCUCUCCAAGUAAUGCCAAACCUAUAGGCUAUAACAGGUGUAUGGAUGCCGACAUUCAGACUGGUCAGCUAAGAGACCAGGACACGGAAUCUGGAGAGGUCCUUGGUCAUCAGCUGGUCCAUCAUGAGUGUAAGGUUGAUUUUGACAUGUAGAUGUUGAUGUCCCAAGCUGAAUUUCAAGAUACUCGUGGCAGCAAUUUCCCAUAGAAGUGUUGUGGUUUAGUUCGCUAUACUAUUAGAAUUACGCGAGGUGUGCGUGUAUCAUCGGGGUGGUGCUGAGUCAACUAAAAGUCAGAGGCGCUAAUAUGUGUGCAUUACCUACUGUUGUAUAUUUUUCAAUCAUGCACUCUGUUCUCUUAAUGAUUAACUGUGAAUGAAAUGGAUGAGGGCAAUAAUGUUCAUGUGCUAGAACAGAACUCUGGAAACUUGAAUGGAAAGAACCUUUAAAGCA